rnacentral:antisense_RNA from 1 species
UUACUUGUUGCAGCAGAAGCUUCAAGAAUUUACACUCAUUGGAAUAAUAAAAUAGAAGUAAGCAACCAUGCAUUAAAAAGCUAUGAAAAGAUGAAGAGAAUAUGCCUUCAGAUGGGAAGGAAUACUUACUGUGAAUGAGACCUAGUUCAACAUUGAACUUCCUGGUGGCCAAGUCAGAAGAGAAGCACAGUGUGUGUCUGGAAUUGGUGGGUUCUUGGUCUCACUGACUUCAAGAAUGAAGCCGUGGACCCUUGCGGAACUGUGAAGACUAGAGUGACCUUGGAGAUCUCAUCUGGAAGAUGGUAGAACUGCCAUCAGCCUGGGUUCCCAAAUGACCUCGUGGAUCACAGCUACCCAUGGCCUGAAAUGUUGACCUUGGAGUUGUUACAUAGGAAAGAAAUAAACUUCUUUGUUCUUUGAGCCA